rnacentral:rRNA from 1 species
GACGAACGCUGGCGGCGUGCUUAACACAUGCAAGUCGAGCGGUAAGGCCCUUUCGGGGGUACACGAGCGGCGAACGGGUGAGUAACACGUGGGUGACCUGCCCUCAGCUCUGGGAUAAAGCCUGGGAAACUGGGUCUAAUACUGGGUAUGACUCCACGGUGCAUGUCGUGGGGUGGAAAGCCUUGUGCGGCUGAGGAUGGGCCCGCGGCCUAUCAGCUUGUUGGUGGGGUGANGGCCUACCAAGGCGACGACGGGUAGCCGGCCUGAGAGGGCGACCGGCCACACUGGGACUGAGACACGG